rnacentral:rRNA from 2 species
AACUUUCAGCAACGGAUCUCUUGGCUCUCGCAUCGAUGAAGAACGCAGCGAAAUGCGAUAAGUAAUGUGAAUUGCAGAAUUCAGUGAAUCAUCGAAUCUUUGAACGCACCUUGCGCCCUUUGGCUAUUCCGAAGGGCAUGCCUGUUUGAGUAUCU